GACAGAGGGUGCAAACGUUGCUUGGAAUUACUGGGCGUAAAGGGCGCGUAGGCGGCACCGCAAGUCGACUGUGAAAUCUCCGGGCUUAACCCGGAAAGGUCAGCCGAUACUGCGCGGCUCGAGUGCCGGAGGGGAGAGUGGAAUUCCUGGUGUAGCGGUGAAAUGCGUAGAUAUCAGGAGGAAUACCGGUGGCGAAAGCGACUCUCUGGACGGCAACUGACGCUGAGGCACGAAAGCGUGGGGAGCAAACAGG
rnacentral:rRNA from 1 species